CUGCUAAAGAAGGAGGAAGGAAUGGGCAACGGUAGGUCAGCAUGCCCCGAAUUAAUUGGGCUACACGCGGGCUACAAUGGGUGGGACGAAUGGGUAUCGACACCGAAAGGUGAAGGCAAUCUCCUAAACCCAUCCGUAGUUCGGAUUGUGGGCUGCAACUCGCCCACAUGAAGCUGGAAUCUGUAGUAAUCGUGUCUCAAAAUGGCACGGUGAAUAUGUCCCUGCUCCUU
rnacentral:rRNA from 1 species